rnacentral:lncRNA from 1 species
UAUCCAAACAAGGUCUAACUCAGGACAAUUUUGGCACCCAUCUUAAUCAUCUAUAAACACAACUAUAUGGCUCCUCUCAAUACUGUGACUAACCCAUUACUACAUAUGAAGAUUAGUCACAAUUCUGAGUGAACAAUUGUCGGAUGGGCCAAAGUCAGAAUAUUUAAACACCAACAUGGGCACCAGGACAUAGGGUCCAUGUAUAUAAUGUACAAGUCUGACCCAACUUGGCCCAAUCUACUGGGUUGCCUUGGAGGAGCUCCUGUAAGACCCAAAAACAAAAGCAAAGCAAAAUGGUUUUUAGGCCUAUGGGCUGGGCUGAGGUUUCUAAUAUGGGCCAAUGUGUCCAGUAAAGCCACAACCCUCAGAGCCCAAAUAAAUGGAGACCAUUUGGUCAAGUUGCUAAUCAGUCCAGAAUUUAUAAUUCGGUAUCCAACCAUUUAGACUGACUAAUCUGAAGGACCAAUCUCAUUACCCCGUACGAGGAGUCCAUUUAAAGAAACAAAAAUAGAGAUCUUUUAAGUCAGCUUACGUAGUAAGAUGGAAGCGUGCAUUUACGUACAAUUAUACACAAAAAAAGUUCAACAAACAAACGACUCUUGAUUAUAUAGUUAUGACAGAACAAGAACAGAAGGAAUUCGUGCAUAUAACGCUCUUGCAUGUGACAAAAUGGAGAUUUCAUGAUGGAAACUGUGUUGAGAGUUUAGCACAGGAAACAAAAAUAAAUUCCUACUACUGAAUGUUCGCAAAGUGAGGCAUAGCUUAGAAAAUUCCUCUUUAGUUUUCUAAAUUAGAAAUAAGAUGAAAUCCACUACUUCAUUGGACAAUAGUAUAGGCUCUUGGACCCCAAGGGGUGUCGCUGAUGGCAAAGGGAAGGAUUCGCAGGAGGCUGUAUUCCCACGCAGUGAGGCUGGGUUCGACUCUCUCCAUCAGCUGAAGAUCCCUCCAUUUACAUCUGGGUGGAGGCUUGUGGGGAUCCCACUCAGCCCAGUUUGGGCUACUAUCCUCUGGUUAACCAGGGAUGUGUGGCUGUUCUGAGUCAUCAAAAAAAAAAAAAAAUAGUAUAGGCUCUUGGCUUCUUACACUUUGCAGUUUUGGAAAAUUACAAAAGUGAACUGGACCAAGCUAAAAGUGGAUGCCAUAAAACCAUCCCAAUUUUGCUGUACAGAAAGAUCCACAUGGAUGUCCCAUGAAUAUGCCUGACCUCAUCCACAUUCUACAUGAUACAUAUAUGCAUGACCUAUCAUCUUGAAUGGAAAUAGUUCUUCCUUGUCAAACCCCUUUCCUCCUUGCGAAUAAACUGGCAAAAAAUGAUAAAAAUGAUUACGUGGUAUGAAAUAUGAAAUUUCCUUUGUUGGAACUAUUCUAAAAGUAGCAUUCAUCUCACAAGAAACCAAAGUUUUGAGUUACAUAUCAAGAUUUUGUAUGCAUGACCUAUCAUCUUGAAUGGAAAUAGUUCUUCCUUGUCAAACCCCUUUCCUCCUUGCGAAUAAACUGGCAAAAAAUGAUAAAAAUGAUUACGUGCUAUGAAAUAUGAAAUUUCCUUUGUUGGAACUAUUCUAAAAGUAGCAUUCAUCUCACAAGAAACCAAAGUUUUGAGUUACAUAUCAAGAUUUUGACCCAUCCGAUAUUUUAGUAGAUAUAAGCCGAUAUGUAGUUUAUUCACCAAUAUUGGCACUGUUACCGAUACCCCGAUUUUAAAACCUUGCAAGAAACACAAAUAAUAUUUGGAAUUUUCAUCUCAUGACUUUGGGUUGAUUAUGUGGCAUGAAACAAGAAAUUCCGUUGGAGGGAACCAAUCAAGAAAAAUGACAUUCAUCCGCAAAUGGUUCUAGAGAUCUAAAAUUUGUCAUCUCCUGACUAAAGGUGUUCUGGAAUACCUAUGGGUUUGUCA